GCUAUAUGUAUUAUAUUUCAUUUAAAAUUCGCAUUUAUUUGGUUAUGUAUGUUUUUGUGAUGCCUUGACAAUUAAAAAAAAAAAGGAAAUCUUGAAAUGUACCAUGUUUUCCACUGAGCGGCGCUACGCCCUAAUAAAAUCUCCUAGGUUGGAGAGAAAUCUUGAAGAAUUGUGCUGCUUUUUUCUGUUUCUUUAACGUUAACGACGACUCUUUUAGCUCUUUUAACCAAGAAAAAAGCGUGAGAAAAUAUACAGAUCUCAAGGACUAAUAUAUUCAGAUUUUGUGCACUUUUUUCUUUUAAAUUUAUUGCAAAAUUUCUAGCAAGCAGUCAGAUUCUCUUGCACUCAACGCAUUGAUCUGUAAAACGACGGAGCUCCCAGUGAACAGCACGUGAAACAUCAGAUAAGCAGAUCCUGUACACUUUAUUGUCGUUUGGACAGCAGUAGCAGAGGCAGAUCAUUUCCCAUCUGUCAAGUCAACCAUGGCAAAUCAUGGUUAGAAAGUGUAUUGUGUACGUUUUGAUCUAGAUGUUAACAAAAGAUGGGAAGCAUAUGAGACCUCUCAUAAAAGAGAUUUAAUCUAUAGAUCCAUCUCAUGUCUUCCAAUUCUAAGGCCAAAAAAAUCUGGCAAUAUCUAUAGAAAUUCAUUUGCACUGGAUGAUUCGGUGGAAGCAACUACAUACAGUGAAGAUUUCUGCUGGAAGCCUGUGUCAAAGACAGCUUGCAUAAGGUCUGCCACAGCAUCAGGAAACCGAAGGCGUUCAUGGUAUGGAGGCAUUCUGCAGAUCAAAUGAAAUGUUUUAGUGGUAGUUCCCCUCUUCAGCUCCCUUUGACUGAGAAGGAAAUCUAAAAGGCUGUAAGUGCCCAGUACAGGUCGACCUACAGGACUGACUUUCUUGGAUUACCUCAAGGUGAAUUUUAGGAAUUAUUGCACAGACAAUUGUUUAUACAUUUCAAAGCCAUUUGAAUCUUAUUUAAUAUCAAGGUCUUGUGAUUCCAAAGAUUAUUAUAUGUCAUGUUAUAACAACUUUUUAUGUUCUGUCUAAAUCACAGGAAUUAUGAAAAACCAUGCGACCUUUGCACCUUGUAACCGCAGCCAUGUUGUCCACUACUAUACCUAGACUGAAAUAAGACAUAACUACCACCCACCCAAACUGAAACUUGAGCUUCUGGGGAACAACUCUCGCUAUGGGUGCAAUAAGCUGCAUGGUGUAGCAGCGAGGGGUAUUGGUAAGCUUCUACUAAACUGUUACGUUUCUGUUUGUGUGCAUUGGGGAUGAAAGACCAAACUACUUUGUUUGAAACUGAUAUGACAGCAAUCCCCUGCAGUAGUCUAGACACAAUGUAAUCACAAAGGAGUAGACUGGACACACAAUGAUCAGAUUUAAAGGAAUAGUUUGGAGAAAUUCAGCAUUACAUCACUUGCUCAC
ensembl:lncRNA